rnacentral:rRNA from 1 species
AAUGAACGCUGGCGGCAGGCUUAACACAUGCCAGUCGAGCGCCCCGCAAGGGGAGCGGCAGACGGGUGAGUAACGCGUGGGAACGUACCUUUUGGUUCGGAACAACUCCGGGAAACUGGAGCUAAUACCGGAUAAGCCCUAACGGGGAAAGAUUUAUCGCCGAAAGAUCGGCCCGCGUCUGAUUAGCUAGUUGGUGAGGUAACGGCUCACCAAGGCGACGAUCAGUAGCUGGUCUGAGAGGAUGAUCAGCCACACUGGGACUGAGACACGGCCCAGACUCCUACGGGAGGCAGCAGUGGGGAAUAUUGGACAAUGGGCGCAAGCCUGAUCCAGCCAUGCCGCGUGAGUGAUGAAGGCCUUAGGGUUGUAAAGCUCUUUUGUCCGGGAAGAUAAUGACUGUACCGGAAGAAUAAGCCCCGGCUAACUUCGUG